ensembl:lncRNA
UUAUUUCUGAGAUUUCACACAACCCAGGAUUCAAGUCAUAAAUACAUAAUGGGCUUGGAUUUACAGCAUUAUAAAUGAAAUGUGCUCUAUUUGGAAGCAGCCCCCCUUUCGACAGGUUGUGUGUGAGACUUUAAAUCAUCAAACUGUAAAUAUUAAAUUGUUAUUGAUCCCUUUACCCCUAGUCCUAAAGUGUAUAUUUAUUUUCUUACUCUUCUUAUAUAUAUUGUUUGUUUACUUGCACUGCUGUAACUGGAGCCUCGUCGUCUCGUCUCUCUAUAUACUGGACUGUAUGUAGCGGAGAUGACAAUAAAGUUUACUUUGACUUCGGCAGCAAGCAGGUGCACCGAAAUUUCGAAAAAACAUCGGUGCCAAUUAUAAGUCUGUAUCAUAAUGUCUGGUGUUUUCGUGUUUGUUGUUUUGUUUUUAUUUUGUUUUAUUUUGCGAGAUGGUUAGGUGCUGCUCCAGCCGGUCAGAGAAUCCCCCGCCGCCCCGCCCUCUCCUCCCUGCGCCGCAAGCAGCAGGCGCACCUCGCAAACGAAGGGCGCCGUUACUCCCCGCAAAUGGGCGAUAGAAAACCGAUCGGUGCGUACGCCAUUCCCAAUAUGCGCUGGCUGACGUCGGGGGAGCUUUUUUUUUUUUUUGGCCGAUGCCCGUGAUGCCGCUCCCCACCACGAUGCCGCCCCGGGCAACCGCCCGUGUCGCCCGUAUCUAAAACCGCUACUGGUGGCCGCAGUACCAUUUGCUGUGUGUAAUGUAUUGGAAACGAUUUAAAAUCACAUUUUAAUGAUUGAGUACAACGUCUUGAUUAAAUGGGGCAAAUAUGAGAAAACAGUCAAACAGGAAACAAAUAGAGUUUUUGCAAAGCAACCUCCUUCAGUAAAGCACAAAAUAAUAAUAUGAAAAACUAUUUGCAAUCAGUGGAAGGAAAAUCUUAGAACAAAGUUAACAGCCUGCAUUUAUAUAGUAAAGUUUGGUGCACUUUGGUCUUUCACUUCAGCCAAAGAAAAUCCUUUUUGUAUUGUAAAGUAUCACCAUGCCAGUAUAUAUAGUAUAUAUUUCCAGUGGAAACAUAAUUUGUUACAAGCCAUAAAAUGGAUAUGUGUUUGCUUGCUCAUCAUGAU